rnacentral:rRNA from 1 species
GAUGAACGCUGGCGGCGUGCCUAAUACAUGCAAGUCGAGCGAACGGACGAGAAGCUUGCUUCUCUGAUGUUAGCGGCGGACGGGUGAGUAACACGUGGAUAACCUACCUAUAAGACUGGGAUAACUUCGGGAAACCGUAGCUAAUACCGGAUAAUAUUUUGAACCGCAUGGUUCAAAAGUGAAAGACGGUCUUGCUGUCACUUAUAGAUGGAUCCGCGCUGCAUUAGCUAGUUGGUAAGGCAACGGCUUACCAAGGCAACGAUGCAUAGCCGACCUGAGAGGGUGAUCGGCCACACUGGAACUGAGACACGGUCCAGACUCCUAUGGGAGGCAGCAGUAGGGAAUCUUCCGCAAUGGGCGAAAGCCUGACGGAGCAACGCCGCGUGAGUGAUGAAGGUCUUCGGAUCGUAAAACUCUGUUAUUAGGGAAGAACAUAUGUGUAAGUAACUGUGCACAUCUUGACGGUACCUAAUCAGAAAGCCACGGCUAACUACGUG